AUGGAAGGGCCAUCGCUCAACGGAUAAAGGUACUCCGGGGAUAACAGGCUGAUACCGCCCAAGAGUUCAUAUCGACGGCGGUGUUUGGCACCUCGAUGUCGGCUCAUCACAUCCUGGGGCUGAAGUAGGUCCCAAGGGUAUGGCUGUUCGCCAUUUAAAGUGGUACGCGAGCUGGGUUUAGAACGUCGUGAGACAGUUCGGUCCCUAUCUGCCGUGGGCGCUGGAGAACUGAGGGGGCUGCUCCUAGUACGAGAGGACCGGAGUGGACGCAUCACUGGUGUUCGGGUUGUCAUGCCAAUGGCACUGCCCGGUAGCUAAAUGCGGAAGAGAUAAGGCCGAUCGCA
rnacentral:rRNA from 1 species